UAAGCGUGUGAUGAAAUUUUGUGGCUCAACCAUAAAACUGUUACACGAACUGACAUACUAGAGUAUAUGAGAGGAACCUGGAAUUCCUGGUGUAGGAGUGGAAUCCGUAGAUAUCAGGAGGAACACCAAUGGCGUAGGCAGGGUUCUGGCAUAUUACUGACGCUGAGGCACGAAAGCGUGGGAGCGAACGGGAUUAGAUACCCCGGUAGUCCACGCCGUAAACGAUGGAUGCUA
rnacentral:rRNA from 1 species